UCUCUCUCUCUUCCUCUCUCUCUCACUCGCUCACUCACUCACUCACUCACUCGCUCACUCGCUCACUCGCCUCCCCUGGCUUGGCAAUUUGACUGUCAGCAUGGGUGCUGGGUUUGUGCCUCUAAGCCUUUAGAUGUCCCAGUCCUCUGUUUAAUUACUGCCUCUCUGGCCUCAAGCUCUGCACACAAACAAAGACAAAAAUUAUACAAGGGACAAGCCAUAGCAUGCAAGGAAACCAUCUGCCAGCAAGCAACACUGUCUAAUGUUUUCCGUCACACCUGAGCUGACCUUUUGCUGCAAUAGACUCCACCUUUCAAACCUGAUCAUUCUGCAUAUUGGUGGGAAUGGCACUAGGUCAAGCAGCAGUGACAGAACUGGAUCCUUUACUUGUCUGCUGGAUUUCCCUGCUUCAUCUGUGACCCACAGCCAUCUCAGAUCUACAUCAUUCAGUCGCACUAGGACAGCGCUUCAGGCUGUUGGCUUUAGAGAGAUAAAACUAAGCACUAAAGUUAGUAUUGGUCAAAAUCUAGUAAAAAAAUAUUUCAAAAUUCUAUUUUAUUUUGUGGGGUUGUCUUCUUUGAGCUUUUUGUGCCUUCCAAAAGUUUUCAUUUCAUCAUGUAUUUUCUGCCCAGCGUUUUUCAGGCCUUUGUACUAAUAUUUGGCUUUAGGGCUGGACCCUGAAUGGGUCAAUCUGCAGUGCACAAUGGUAUGCGUUGAUAUAUCAUUUUUAUUCUAAUUCUGGUAGUUUGUUUCAGACUCGUUAACUUCUUCUGGAAGGUGAAUAUCUUCCAUUAUUGUCUUGUAUUUAUCUCCAUCCCUUUUCCUUUAAACUUUGAGUGACUUCCUGUGUCUGCUGAAGAAAAGCAUCUCAAAAGCAUAAUGCUGCCACCCCCAUGUUUCCCUGUGGGGGUGAUAUAUUCAAGGCAAUUUUUUUUUUUUUUUGUUUUUUUUUUUCUGAGAGACUGCAUUUUCCACUUAGGCCACACAGCUCAAACACAGUCUCAGAUGAAGGAAAUUGGUUGCACUGGAUCUUAUUUAGAUGUACCAGAGCUCUGCACUAACCCAAAUGCACACUUUUUAGAUUUUUAAGGCAUGCAUCCUUUUACCUCUGUUUCACAAAUAAAACACUCCUUUGUGUUGAUAUAUCACAUAUCAAAUCGCCUAAAAACA